ensembl:lncRNA
GGACGAGCAAAGAAGAAACCCUCGUCUGCAGCAAGGACCUGGCUUUAUCAUUGAUUUAUUGCAAGGCCUCAGCCACACCAACAGAGCCUCAGCAGAGAGCAGCAUGCGGCCACAACGAGAAGUAGCCAGGCCAAAGACCACCUAACCCCUCGGCUUCGCAGUCCAGCUGGUCAUAGGUUCACAGCACUUUUGGCUCUGGAGCUGGGCAGCGCCACUCUCUACUGGUAUGCAAAAACCCCCAUGCGCUCUGACAGCCCUUCCUGAAGCCCAUCAGCAUCUCCUCGCCAGGGUUUUGGGCUGCACCCGGACCCAAGUCCAGAAGUCCUUCCUCGCUGCCCUAGGAGACAUUUCCCUCUCCCACAUUAGCAAGUUUCCUUUUGCAAGACCAGAGCCAUUUCCAGUCCAUCCCAGCUCUGCAAGGGUGCUCUGCAGUGUGACAGCUCUCGGGGGGGACAGCCCCAUGGUGGCUUCAGUCCCCCUCACACAGCCCUCCUGUGCCUUCGUGCCCAGCGGUGCUACAGAUGUACAGCGUCUGUUCUGUGUUCGCUGGGCAGGACGGCAUGAAAAGAGCCAGAUGCUUUGGUUAAAAAAAAAAAUUAAAAAGAAAGAAAAAAAAUAAUAAAAAUCAGUGCCCAAUUUCACAUCUGCAGCUCCAGAAAGCCAAUGAGAAACAAUGGUCCAGAGCAGGGCUGGGUGUGUGCUGGUGGAAACCCAGACCUGCUGAUCCUCGUGUGAACGGCACCAGCCCCGAAAUCCCCAGGCCAGCCCUGCAGGCAGCGGGGCUCAGCCAGAAACAGCCCCUGGCUCUGCGGGUCUGGGGCCGGUCCCCGCAGGCGGCACAGGCACAGCCGGUUCCUGAGCUCGCCCCAGCUCCCCAUCAGCACCAGUUGCUGAUCUUGUCACCAAAGCAAAGCCAGCAGAUGAAGCCUCCAAACUCCCUUUUUGCAUUGCUUUGAGCUUGAAAUACAGGAAGGGAAAUUAAUCUGAAUGCACAGCUUACUCCGUGCCUUCCAACAAGAGUGACCUUGACUUUUAACCAUUGCUUUUCCUUUCCUACCCCUGAGGCUCUCGUGCCCGGAACAAAUCAACCCCGAGGGAAUCAGCCAGCUCUGCCUCAGUCUUGAGGUCUGCUUUCCUGUACAUAGUAAUGUGCAGCAGCUCUCGGGAUUGUGUAAAUACGGUCUGAGAAGCACAACUGUGCAACAGCAACAACAUUUGGCACAAACACAUCUGCCACUGAGCUGUGCCAUGGCACGCAGUGCCAUUAACAGCCAUGUGGCUCUUCCCAAAAAACCUUGUCACCGGGAGCUGGGGACCAGGUGAGCCUGGGCUGGAAGGCGCAGAUGCAGUCAGAUGGAUGCAAUCUCAGCUCUCGGGCGACUCUUACAAACAGCUAAUUUGCAGCAGAAAGUCAAGAAACGGAGCCACCCGAUCUGCUGUCCCCUCUCCCAGCGUCUCCCCGUUGCCGGAGGUGAGGGGAGCUGCUCACCGGCUGGAAGGGCGGGGAGCACCCGCACGGUUAUUCUCAGUAAUAAGAUGCCUGUCAACAUAUAAACCAAUUAGGUGCAGCUUUUGAGCUCGUAAUAAGGCUGGGCAAAAUGCUUUCUCUGAGCAAGUGC